rnacentral:lncRNA from 1 species
GUAAUUUAAGGCAACCGUUCGGCCUUGAACAAGAGAUAAACACAUACCAUUUACUGGGCUAUAAAAGGCCCAGACAUGAAAAAUAUGAAAAAAAUUCAAUUGAGAAAACUAACAGCUUAACAAAACAAAAUACUAAAAAGAAAUGAUCGACAUGAACAAACAACAACCACUGAACUACAGGCUUCUGACUUGGGACAGGCACAUAAAGAAUGGACCAGGAGCCUCUGGCCUUUGUUAGUCUAGUAUGAUUUUUAAUUUUAGUUUCUUGUAUAUAAUU